GUUUAACGGUCAAAUGUACUCGUUUUAUUGACUGUUAAUCGCCUUUUAAAACUAAAGUUAUUUAUGGAGAAAGUAUAUUCAAAUAGUUGUGUAGUUAAUACUAGUGUAUACACAAUGAAGAGUUAAAAAUCAAUUUAAACAAAAAGAAAAACAAUGCAAGUGUCUACGACCGAUGCUGUAAAUCGAGAAACUGGAAGUCUGGAAGGGUGUCAUGUUGGAGAAAGUAGAGAACAAAGCAAAAUGUAAAGGAGGAGGGGGGAAUGCGUUGGAAAUAUGCCAAAAAUAACGGCGCAUGUAUUCAAGGAUUCAAAAGCUAAAGACUCAAACAAGCUGACUGGAGAAUCAGGUUGAUUGCAUAAAAUGCCCCAAACCUUAUCCAAGUGUAGGUGUCGAUCACAUGUUUUCACCUCAACACCAAAAGCUGGUGAAAGACUUCAGGACAAAGCGAGAAUAUGGUGCAACCGAAAUCGGUUUAAGCAGAAAAGGAAGACUGAUAAAGCGGAUUUUGUUCCAGUUCAGACAAAGACCGCUCAUGUUCCUCAAGAAGAGGACUGGGAGCAGGAGAUCGAAGAGAUCUCGCGCAGGACGGAGAAGGGGAAAGAAAUGAGCAAUAAGACACCCUAUGAUGCUGAGGAAGAGCUGGAAGUAGCGCUGUGCGAGAUGAGCCUGUACUCCGUUCCCCACGCUCCGAGACCACACCAGCAGCACUACGACCCCUCCACACAUCACACCCCUCCCGUCAAAUGGAUCCACCGCAUCUCCUGCAUCGAGACUGGCCAGUUCGCCGACGCCAAGGAGUAAACGGAUCCUUCCCAUGAUUCCAGCGGUAAAAGAGACCAGAGGGAGGGGCUGAGCCUGGGUGGGAGGAGAAAUGGCUUGUCCUUAUAGUUUAGCCAAAUUAAUUAUUGUUAGGUUAAUAAAUUAAUAACUGUUAGGUUCUAACUAUUUUAGAAAUGCAUUAAAAUUAUUCAUUUGAGUUCUAGUGUGUUUUUCUUUAUUUAAAGUAAUCAUUGGAUGUUCAUUUCUGAAUUUACUGAUUUAGAAAUACUCUGUAUUGGUCAAAAAUAUCUUUUACAUGUAGAAUUCAGUGCACUUGGCUCAGAGAUAUUUAAGUUAAGCUGUUUGGUUUUAGGGGGAACUACUUGAAGCACAGAAAAUAAAUGAUUUAAAGUGAAUUUUUUCACUUAAGGAAAGUUGUUUUGAGAUGCUUUAUCAAGUCAUUGAGAUGCUUGAUCAAGUUUUUAUCAUAUCUGUACACACACACAGAGCUGGAUGAAAUGUCUGGCGUGUAAGUCAGUGAACAAAACCUCAUACAUUAAACAUGUAGAUCCAUUAUACACACCUACUAGUUAUUACAGUAAAUACUGUACUGUUUGUUGAUAUCCAUAACUAACCAUGUAAACUAGAAUUCCUAGCCUAAUUUGAAUAAAAUGACUCCUGUAGUGGAUAAGUAGAGGAUGUGCUGUUUCUUCUGAAUCUCACCUCUGCCACUUUCUAACAAUCUGAACUGUGUUUUAUUGUAAGAGCUUUAGAAGUAGUAUGAGUUAAACUACCAGCUAUUUAAAGAGUCCAUCAACAAGUUAAGUUCUGGAUAAUAAUUUUUAAAAAGUUCUGGUCUGAACUCCAGGUGUCGCUAAGACAUCAAUCCCAAAAUAGCCCUAAUAUUAAUGUUAAAGAGCCUCUGAGCAGCAAAGCAACGAAAAUAAAGAAUUGAGCUUAAUGAAGGGAUGUGUAAGUGAAAUCUGUAAUAUAGCCCUGUUCAAGAGUACGGUAGGAAGUGAUUGAAAUUUGCAUAUCAAACCAAAAGGCAAGUGUAAAUGUUUAUGAUUAUUACUGCAACUGAUUAGCUUUUGCCUCUGUUUUUGCAAAUAAAGAAAUGUUUACACCCCCAUGUAUUAAAUACUGUUUGUAUAAAGGUGC
ensembl:lncRNA